rnacentral:lncRNA from 1 species
GAAUCUCCAUUGGACGAUCCUCAGCCACAAUUUCUACAUCAAAUAACUAAAUAACAGGAAUAAUAGGUCAAUAAAGUAUCAUUGAAAUAUGAAUUUCCUGUUGGCAGAGAUUGGAAAAAAAUCAAAGAGAAGUUGAUACAAAAGCAAAUACCUCAGAUUCUGAAAGGGACAAAGAGAUGUCAACCCUUGUGAGUGAGAGAAUGGGCUCUCCAUCUUCCUUGCUGAAACCACUCCAUGGGGGACAUGUUGGAUUGGAGGUUUACUGGUCGAGACCAAGGAAUCUGAAGGAAUUGGAAAGCGAUACUAGUGAGCCCAGACGAGUAAGACCGGUACUUGUGACUUAAGUCAAUCUGCAAUACAUCGAUCAAGUGUAGCAUCUGAUAUCACUGGAUCAAGCAAACACAGUGCAAAAUAUAUGAUGUGAUCAAGUGCUUGAUUAAAAGGAAUAACUCUGGUACUGGACUUAC